rnacentral:rRNA from 1 species
UACGUAGGGGGCGAGCGUUGUCCGGAAUCAUUGGGCGUAAAGCGCGUGUAGGCGGCUCGAUAAGUCCGGUGUGAAACCUUGGGGCUCAACCCCAAGCCUGCACUGGAUACUGCCGAGCUAGAGUCCGGGAGGGGAGAGCGGAAUUCCAGGUGUAGCGGUGAAAUGCGUAGAUAUCUGGAGGAACACCGGUGGCGAAGGCGGCGUUCUGGACUGCAACUGACACUGAGGAACGAAAGCCAGGGGAGCAAACGGG